rnacentral:lncRNA from 1 species
CAGUCUUCAAUAAAUAUGUUUUACUAAUCAGUUAGCAUGAAUUAAUAUUGAAAUCCUCUGUAGGUUUAGCAAGUCAGUGAACAUUGGUGAGGCCCCUCUGUUGCUGCCAGUGCUGCUGGAUGUUGGCAGUGUUGCUGGCAGCACCCAGCUGUUCCUGGCACCACUGUGGAGCACAAGUGGGCCCAGGAGGUCCAGGGGCAGUAGCAGUGCUGGAAGGACAGAUGCACACAUGCCCCGAGGGAGAAGCUCCUGGGAAACAUUGCUCUUGGGAGAACCCCCCAUGCAGCAGGGCCUGCCUGAGGGCAGGGGGGCUGCCAGCUUGAGCCAAGGUGGCAGUGGCCAGGCAGUGCUUGCAAGAAGCUCUGGAGACCCCUUUUUCCAGGACACAGGGCUGCUUGUGUGUAUACCUGAGCAGCAGAAGGAGGAUGCUGCUCUCACCUGCACACAGGACCCUUGGUCAUGGCAGGGCAAUCCCCAGCCAGCAAUGCAGAGGAGUUUGUAUGCUGCAUUUAAACCACCAAGCAGACCAACUCCUAAGCUGCCUGGGCAGCAUUUUCUCUUGCCUCCCCAUCCUUAGCAGGGCAGGAGCCAUACAGUGCCUGCUGACUGUGCCUUCUCUGGCCCAUCACAAGAAGAUGAGCAGCAUCCCUGAGGACUAAAUGGCCAAGGUGGCAGGGAGAGUGGCUCCACGCUGGGGUCAACACUUGAGUCUUGUCAUGCUGAUGCUCCUUGGCAUCCUUGACAAUUAUGAUUCUUCCCUGCUUCCACCUUGUGCAAACACCUUAGAGCUGGAACACCAAGAAAUGAAUAGGCUGAACCCUUCGAGCUGCCCCUGUUCAGACAGAUAGACAGGCUGUGGGGUGCCCGAGCCCAUUCUGCUCUGCUCUGAGGACAGCAGACACAGGGAAAAUGCCUGAAGAGCUGAGCACGCAGCUGCAACAGGAGCUGGGUGUUUGGUUACUGGUUAGAAUAAUUUUGGUCUUGCUCAGCUGCUCUUUGCUUCCCUCACUGCGGGGGUCUGACACCCCUCCUGUGAGCAGAGGCAGGUGCCCCAGCCAGCAGGGUUUCUGCUUUCCUGAACUGGACAUGUCUGCCUGCUGCGGGCAAGCAUGUCAAAUCACACCUACCAUAUUGGCUUCCUGUCCCCAGAACAUCAGAUUUUUGCAGCUAAUGUGUGGGGGGUGUCUCCUCCCGCCAAUCUCCACCCCCAGCAGCAUCAGGUCUGUGCUGUUCGGGGUUUUGUUAAGCCGUUUAGUAUUAAUUGAUUUUUUUUUCCAUUUUUUCUUUCUUUCCCUGGGCGGGUCAAUAGCUGGAUGCUCAAGAGCAGAGGAUCUAUCAACUGCAGACCAAGCAGAGGGAGAGGCAGGCAGACCUGGAGCAGAAAUGCAGCCAGAGCAGCAGCUCAGCCAGGACCCGGGGGCCAGCCACCAGCUACGGAAGGGAGCUUGGAGCAGCUGGGGGCACAGAAACAGAGUCAAGGCCUGCAGUACAGCCCAGCCCGUCUGCAGGAGCAGCUGGGAGCCACCCAGGCCCAGGAGCAACAGAGUCUGCAGCAGCUCAGCAGAACCAACGAGGCCAUCCAAGGCCUACAUAGAAAAGUGGCAGAGCUGCAGCAACAGGUGA